rnacentral:rRNA from 1 species
UACGUAGGGUCCAAGCGUUAAUCGGAAUUACUGGGCGUAAAGCGUGCGCAGGCGGUUGUGCAAGACCGAUGUGAAAUCCCCGAGCUUAACUUGGGAAUUGCAUUGGUGACUGCACGGCUAGAGUGUGUCAGAGGGGGGUAGAAUUCCACGUGUAGCAGUGAAAUGCGUAGAGAUGUGGAGGAAUACCGAUGGCGAAGGCAGCCCCCUGGGAUAACACUGAUGCUCAUGCACGAAAGCGUGGGGAGCAAACAGG